UAAAAUUAUGGAACAUCGAAAUAUUUUUCUAUAAUUUUAGUAAAAUUUAAUGUACUUUAUUUUAUUCCACGACCACCAUGAUUUUAAAAUAAAUUCAAAGUAGAAUUUCUGUUUGUAUACUUUGUUAAACCUAUAAUUUGUUUACUUUUUCUUAAAACGAAUCUUUAUAAAGUUAUUAUAUUAUAUAGGCAGUGUUGUAACAGAUACAAUUUUUAAAAUAACAAAAUAUAGAUAUAGUUAUCUAAAGAAAACUGUAAGAGUAGUACUAAAUACAGAUACAGAUAUACAUUUCUUAUAAAUAACUAAAUAUAGAUUGUUAUUUAUAGAAAUUACUUUAAAAAUAACUCUAGAUACUAUGCAGAUAUUAGUUAGAUAAAAUAUAAAAUCAAGCGUAACUAAUUACAAUUUCUGAAUUAGGAAAUUAACUCUAAUUACAUACGCAAAUACAUAAAAAGGAUCUGGAUAAAGUAACUAUAUUCAUGUAGUUAGAUACCUUACAACACUGUAUAUAGGGAGGAUUACCCAAUCCUCUGUCCGUAUUAAAGCGAAAGUCCGUAUUAUAGGGAUCACGUGUUGUACGAGAUUUUCCUAAUUCUCUAACCGUAAAAAUAUGAUGUUGCUAAAAUAUCUUUAAAAGGUUAGCUCUGUAUGUGUGCGCGCGCGCGCGCGCGCGCGUGUGUGUGUGUGUGUGUGUGUGUGUGUGUGUAAAGGAAAAAAUACAGAUGUUAAAAAUAAUUGUUAGACCAUCGAAAUAAUUGUGUAGGAUGCUCAAGGAUGACAAGCAAAGCUGCAAAAAAUUUUGACAGUCUAGCAACCAAUUUAAGUGUCUUAUAUAACUCUUUAUCCCAACAAAAUUAUUUUCAGAUCUGCAUCUAGCUAAAUUUUCUUAAACUUCAGUAAAACUGUUCUUUCCAUGUGGUUAAAACGAAAUCAUGUUACAGGAAUCUCGUGUUAUACGGAGUUGCCUGUAUCUUUUUUACAUUUUAAAGUACUUUCUCUCGACGAAGCGCAGUAUAAUAAACGGCGGAAACAAAGCGCGUUCGUGAACGUUCGAAUCCAAAGACGUUCGCAGAUCAUCAUCUCGUUGAUGCGAUUCCGACCAUUCUUUAUUGCCUCAAUUAUUCGCGUUGAUUCUCCUUUGUUAAUGGUAGGUUCGAAUAAGACGGCCGUCAACGUCGAAGGAGUUGAGUAUGCGUUAUAUCGGGGCAUCCGCAUUAUAUCGCUAAAUGGCGUGCCAGCGGCGCGUUACAUGUGAACGGGGCGACGUAAAAGACGCCGCCGCGCCGGAUGGAAAAACGCACAGUGUGUCAUUAGACGUAGCAACUCCGCAUCUCGAGAGAAGAAGGGAGGGGAGAGAAUUAAAAAAUUAUGCCGCGUGGCGCCUAUAGAAUUGACGAUAUCUUGGAAGAUUUGGGGGCCGCAACGCGCGUAUCUCUCGAGGGAGGCGUAUACGUAACGUCGCGAAACAGAAGAGUUUAGUUAAUUAUAAUUAGCGCUGAGUGACGCGGUUGGUUGAAACCGGCCGCCUGCGCGGCAUUAGAAACGAGUCGGUGUAACUCGCGCGGACUUCACGCAAGACUCACGACUACGUCGCGUAAUCGCGCGAGCAGGAAGAAAUGAUAUUUCGAUCCGAGUGCGUGUGGGGGUGGCUUUUAAUUUUUUAUUUCUGAGACGAGCACAACACUCCGCGAACAUCGACAGUGCUGCGACAAGCGACAGUGUCCCACCGGGGCGUUAAAAAGGGGACUCGUAAAGAGGAAUCGUACGGCCAGGUUUUUAUUUACGUCACGUAAUUAUCGCCACGCCCGUAAUAAAAAUGCCCACUUUGAUGAUGGCUAAUAAAGUCCUCGGGUUUAUGUCGCGCGUCUCUCACUCACUUCUUUCUCUCUCUUUGCCCGACGCUACAUAAUAUAACCGGACAUUAGACUUAACACGCGCGCGGCUUCCAGGCCCGGACACAGAUCCGAGAGGCUACUUACAAGUCGUCGUCCGUCUCUCGUUGUGCGUUUAACCCUUCCGCAACGUCUUUUAUCGAUAAAUAAAACAUCUUUCUUCGUCAAACGAGAGUCCCCUUGCGAGUAACGAACAAAAUUCAGUCAAAGAGAAAGCACAAACGAAAAGCUAAGGAAGUGUCAAUAAUAAUGUUUAUCAAUAAUGUUCCAAAGAAUAUAUCAACAUUUCUCGAGUACGUUUUAAUUUUCUGUUUUACAGUUACGAAUAAAACUACGCGAUAUUAAUAGAGAUUUUCCAAAACGCAGUAACUUUUUUCUUAGAUAACAAAAUUUUUCCCCACAAAAUAAUAUAUGUAUACAUAUAUAUUUAAUCUACGUAUAAUCAGAUGUAUAAUGUGACAUUAAUUUUACAUUAUAUUACAACGUCUUGCAGCUCUAUAGAUAGAAUUUUUUUAUUUCAUUGAAUCACAUAAUAAAUAGUGCAUUUGUAUGCUUUUGAUUAUUAAUUUCAAUCUAAAAGAUCAAAAAUUAAAUAAUUUGAUGGUCAUCAAACAGAUUUUUAUAUAUAAACAUUAAUCUACUGAACUUGGUAUCUAAUAUAUAAUUUUUCAAAUAAUUACAAAAUUUUUAACGGCAGGUCCAAUUUGGCAAUGAUCUUUAAUGUCGCAAAAUGUUAUUGUUUUUACUUAUAUAAAAUAUAACUAAUAAGAGCUUCUGAUAUUUUUAAAUAACUUAAAAAUUAUCUUCAAUUAUCAAACUGAUUUGCUAUGUGAUAAGUUGUCCAAAAUAUCUUAUGUUAUUUGCUAAUAAUAUACAUAAAAAUACACAUAAAUAAAUAAUAUUAUUUCUUACGUAUCAUUUUCCAUUAAUAUAAUAUAGACGCGUUGUGUGUGUGUAUAUGUGUGUGUAGAAUUAUUACUAAUGAUAAAUUUUAAAAACAAAUUUUUAUAAAUUGAAUUUUAUUUAUAAAUAAAGCUAAUUUUUAAUAUUGAAAUAUAUUAGUUAAUCAUUAUCUUAAAUUUUAACGUUGAUCUCAAGUUUGUAAUUAGUGACUUUAAUUAAUAAAUACUAUAUUUAAAGCACAAGAAUACAUAUAAACAAAAAUAUUUAUAUUAGUCACUAUAUUCAAUUAGUUUCUAAAUCUUUUAACUUUAAAUUGAAAAUCAUCUAUUUGCAAAAUUCUUAAACAUUAAAUAAAUUACAAAUACACUUACAUAUACGUUUCUAUUAAUUAUAAAAUUUCCCUCUUUAUUGACAAAGAUGCUAAAACAUUUCUAUGGUCUCCCAAUUAAGUGUUGUCGAUUUUUCUAAAUAAUAUUACUUUCACACACAGCACACUACUCGAUUAAGCGAAUAUACGCAGUAUGCAAUUAAUGCUGGAAAUCUCGAUUCCCUUAGCGCCUGGAAACUCUCAAAAGGUAUGUCGUGCCACCGUUAAUAUUACCGUUGACGUUUACGACCAAAAUGGCCGGGCGAGGCAUUCGCAUCUCUCGGAUAUUUAAGUAAACGAUUCGCAUCGCUGCACUGGUUGGUACAUCUGCGAGAACAUGCGGGUGCCACGUUGUUAUGCAGCCGGUCUGUACGCGGCUGUCACGAAACACAAUGGGUGCACACUCUUUCCCGUCCUGGCUCCGUGGCUUAUGUUGCGUAACCGUAAACUAAUCUACGAGAGCUGUAACGCGAGCGAGUUAUCGCCGUCACCAGACUUAAAUUAUUACGGAGCUCGUAGCUUACCGUGUCGCAUGGUUCGUCUAUCAAAAUCAUCUUUACAAAGCGUAAAAAAAUAUGUGUUGUAUCAGAGACAGAACUCACGCGACACUUUGAUUCGCGGGACUGGUAGUGAGCAAACUUACAAAAAUUCAAUCGCGCCUGUAAUCACCUCAUCGCGCGACCAGUUUUGAAAGUGUAUGGGAGAAAGAGUUCCGCGAAACAUGCGCGCGUCGUAAAACGGCCGGGAGAGAUGGCCCGCGAUGUACGGAGAGCAAAGAGGAAAGGUGCAGUGACCUCCAAGUGCUGCAGCUUGUGCUCGAGUGAUGGCUUACCAACUCGUACCGUCGGCCAAGGCCAUUAAUACCAAUGUCUUUUGCGCGACUGAGGCGACGGAGGUGGCACGUGAAAGAGAAGAAGGAAGAACCGAGAGAAUCGCGCCUUGGGUUUAGGUGCCUUGCCGAUGAGAAUUGUCGGAAUUCGUAAUUAACCCACGCGAUUCGAACGGCGAAUUCCAAUAGGAAUCUAUACGAAGAAACUGAGAUCGCACACGAAAGACGCAUGAUCGGAAAACGAAAGAAUAUAUAUGCAAGGGACAGCGGAAAGUCCUUUUCGGCUAGAUUCCAUUUUAAAGAAAAUGUACUAUGAAUAUUUCUAAGAAAUAUAAAGAUUUUUUUAUUUGAUUGUAUGAUUAGUCAUAAGCUGGUUAAGGUGACGACGUGCUCGUUAACGAUAUACCUUGUCAACCUCAACCAGAUAUUCGCGUACGUAUUUAUAUCCACACGUUAUUAAUGAAUUUAUAUAACGAACGUAUCAUAUUGAACUUUUGCAGAACGAAUGCUGGGUUUGCAACGCUGAUCCUUUUUUUAUGAUGUAUCAUCGGAAAUAAAAAAUGUGCAAUAAUUAAAGGUAAACAGAAUGCGAAAGCAAACAGUAGCGGAGCGGAGCGGACUGCCUCGUUGACGAAGUAUAUGAACGCUAAGGGAAAAGAGAUCAAGGGAGAACGAAUGAGAGAGAGAGAGAGAGAGAAAGAAAGAGAGAGAGAGAGAGAGAUUGUCGAUCGUUAGGAUCGGUUAACCAAGGCUGCUUCACGGUUGGUGCAACGAGUACUUUUAUCGACGAACGUAAAGCAAACCGCCGAGUUCUUCCCCCGCGGCCGCAAGAAGUAAAAACGCGCCAAACACGGUCAUGCGGCGAGACAGCAGCGGUUCGGCGGAGAGUGCGGCGUGUCGAAAGGGACGGUAAAAAGCGAUGGAUAUGCGACCCUCGCAACAAAGAAAAAUUCUACGUGUACGCGUCACGAGGCAUCAAACGCAGCUACGCGAUUCGCAAUGACGUUUGGAUCGAUGCUAAGUAUAAGCGAAUCGCGAACUGUGCGCUCAGCAGUGAAACGCAAUGCUAAACGAGGAUUAUCGUAGCUAAAUACAUCCAUUGAGCUAUAUUAUUGUACUAGAGUAAGCCUAUAGAGUAAGCCCCAAACUGCAGUUCGAUGGAGAAAAAGACAAGGACAACAAAAAUUUGUCUUUCCUUUCUAUAGAUACUAUUGUAUAUUGUGAUGAGACCAGUAAAUUACCAAUCAACGAAUCUUUGAAAAAGACAGCAAUACUAUGUUUGCAUAAAUGUCCUUUAGAAUAUGAAAUAUCCUCCUUAAAGAUUCACUUCAAAUAUAUUAUUAAGCACAAUAUGAAUGUCUUACAUCUAUUUCUAUUAAUGUAAAUUUUAAUCUCAAUUUAUAAUCCUAAUUAAUAUUCGCAAUAUUUCCAGGGUCGGGAUAGUUUUUUCAAUCACGCAAUCAAUCUCUAAAUAGCAUGGAAUUGUUUUAAUAACAAAUGUUUCUCACUUUAGAUUUUUAUUUUAAAUCAUAUAACCUUAUCCCUCGGAUUUAUUUUGAUCCUCAAAAUAACAAAUUAUUUACGUUAUUUGAACAAAGAUGUAUUGUAAUAAUAAUUUAAAGUUUUGUCAGGUACACACACUGGACUUAAAUACCGGAAAGUUAAGAAAAUUUCGAAGCAAAUACAUAUUAAGAUUAACUUUUUAUUUCUUUCUAACUUUUAAAACUAGAAGAUAAAAAAUUUAAAUCAAAAUUAAAAUUAAUUUACAUUGAUAGAAAUGGUCACUUAAAGUACAGAUAUUAUAUUUUAAAAGUUAUUUUGCGAAUGCAAAAAUGUUCUUCGUAAUAUUCAAGAUUCAUCUAAAACUGUGACACAAUCGGCACUCGUAUAUCGAGUGACCACCUGUAUUCGGACAGUAGUCGGGUUUUCGCGAACAAGAGGAACAGCGAUCGCUCCGAGACGGUCUGCUCCGGGCGGCACGAUUUCCUUGGCCAGUCUAUCGUUUAUCUCGCUCCUUCCUCGGACUAACGGUGUGUGCGUGUCUUACAACCGUAAGGCAGCACACCGCGGCAGGCCAUCUCUAUUUAUCUCGGCAGCGGGAGAUAGCGGUGUUGCCGAUACCGGGUGCCUCUGCGCGCGAACGUACGCUCUCGGAAACGACCCGAGUCGAGCCGAGCGAUGCCGAGAUGGCCUGCGCGGCAACGUUGCACGCGCGGAACGCCUCUCCUUAGACUUUCCUCUCUGGCUCUUUCUUCCUCUCUCUCUUUCUCCCUUUUCUCACGCGCCACGCGUUCUCUCACUCUGUUAGAGAGCCGGGUGCCUCGACCGCGCGAUCUCACGCGCGCGUUACGCUCGUCAAGGUGUUAGUAGGUGUCGUUACCUACGAUUAACAGGCGAGCGAAAAGAAAUACAGUUGCCAGGCUGACGAAUCGCGCGACUCUCCGCACGGGAAACCCAGAGCCAUGGAACAUAUGGAGCUGAAGAGAGAUGAGGUUAGGCAAUGAAAAGCACUCCCAAGUGUCGGACAAAGGAUGACUGUUUAAAGAACCAGGCUUAUCUUUAUUAGAAAAUAGCAUUCGAAACACUAAAAGACUAAGACCUAAGAGAAAACCUUUAAUAUACAUUCCUAGACGCUCAAAUUAUUAAUUUUUCACACGUUUCAAUUACUUAAUUUUCUAAUUAAUAUUUAAAUAUUAAUAUACGUUUGUACGUAUAAAUACAAAUGGUUUAGAUGUUUCACGAAUACAUUCCUCACAGAGUUGCGUGCAUUCGCUCAAAAUAAUUCGGAGAAGAAAUAUUUCGCCCGAGCAAUUCGUCACACAAUCUUCGCUCGAAGAAGCGAUGGUGCUCGUCGGCGCCGUCCACUUGAAGCGACGCAUCGCGAUGAAGGUGGACGGGACUAUUUUUUUGGUAGGAAGGAUAGGAAUCUCUGUACGAGGGCAAGUGCAUCGCCAAUUUCGGCAGCGUGGCGCGUGCGUGAGACAGACGAGUGCAACCAACCGAUCCGUCUCCUCUCUGUCCCUCUCAUUCGCUCUGCCACACCGUCUCCCUCAUUCUCCUCCUCAGUGUCCCCGGCUGUGCGCACAUGUGUGCAGGGCAUGAGGUCGCUUUCCUCGCCGUUCGGUGUGAGGUUCUGGCACGACCCCCCCUCCCCCGCGCGUGGCAUCGCGCGAUGUUGCCGCUACUGCCAUGUCGCUCGGGCGGCGAUGCCGGCGCCGGUAUGCGUAUAGUGAAACUGGUGGGGCGCAACGUUGCCAUAUCGACCGUGCCCUCGUCAUCGGGAAACGACGAGCGGACGACGAACGAACGAACGUACGAACGGACGGACAAACGGACGAAUAGACGAACGAAUGAACAAACGAACGAACGAAUAAACGAAAGGACGAACGGGGGCACGAAUGAAUGAACGAAUGAACAACCGAGCAAACAUUCUCUCUAUUCCCCACUACUAUUUUCUCAGCAUCAUUCCUUUCCUUUGUCUCUCCUGAGCGCUCGCAUAUUCUUUCUCCUCAUGUCCCUUUUUCUCUCUCUCUCUCUCUCUCUCUCUCUCUCUCUCGUUCUUUAUUUCCAAAUUUUUAAAGAGAUUGCUCCAUUUCCAUCUUCAUCGCGAAAUGGUGCACGUCAAACGCGAGGCGCCGCACGGUGAUACACCUGACUGACUCAGCAUUACCGACUUCGGAUCGCACGCAACGCAUGUGACGACCAGACCAAUGCCAGACUACGGAGCCGAUAUGACGCGCGCGUCUGACAGCGGCGGCGGAGGCAAUGAGGUGCGCCUCGACCACCACUAGCCAGCUAGUCUCGCCCUUGAGAAGGCUGGACCGCCUAGGAGUGAACGAGUGAGUGUGCGCUUUCUCUCAAUUCUCACCCGCGCUCUCACUCGCUCGAUCGCUCGCUUGCGCGAUGUGCAUUUCUCCCGCACGCCCAAACGUCCGCAAGAGCUCAAGCUCCUUCAGAUUACUCGUCGGUAUCAAUAGUUGACCGAUUACUCCCGAUAAUCACGGUGGCAUGAACGAUGAUAAUGAUGAGACCGAUGUAGAUGAGGGAUGGGACAGAGCAGGACAACAAUCGCGUGAGCACACGAUGGACAGAUGCACUUCCAAUUUUAAACCUGUCAACGGUCGCAGCUGCAAGAUGCACUUUCAUUUUUUUCUCAUUUUCUACAAUCUUAAAUUUUUGCAAAGAAUUCUGCAAAAUAUUGUUGAACAAAAUAGAAAAAUUCGUUGAAAAGGUCGGGAGGAUAUUUGGUUACUAGUGUGGCUCUCUUUUUCCUCCUUUUUUGAGAACGAGAUUGAAACCGUUCGUUAGUCGCGCGGGCAGUGACGACACCUCGUCUCCACUUCCGUUUAUACCGAAUUCCGGGAGAAUGUAAUUACUGUGCGCAAAAGAGUGAGUGAGAAAGGCAGAGAGGGGAAUAGGGGAGAGAGAAGAAUGAGGCUUUUAAUACCGCGACACAUCGCGGUGGCAUCGGUUCGAGAAGAGGUGGGCCUGCCGAACGCUCAGGAUUAGAAUGCAUCCACCUCGUUAGUCGCGGGCGAACGGCCAUGCCUUUUUACAGUUUGAGUGGACGAAUUUUAUGACGCGGACGCGCAAGCCCGAGAGAGCUUUUAACACGCCCACCACGUCCUCGUGUUCUUCUCAUCUCGCGCACACGAGGGAGAUCGGUAUUUUUAGGUAAAACGUUUCAGAAAUUUUGGUUCAUAUUUUGUAACGCGAAGUGCUAGAAGCGAGAAAGAUUCGAGAACGUCUGAUAAUCUAUGUAAAAACGCAAAAUUAAGCAUUUUCUUGUCAAUUAGACUGGCAAAAUGCUUUAUUUAUUAAUAAUUACACGACGACAUUUCGACCCAAGAUUCAGGUUCUUAAAUGCAAAUGAUUACAUCAGUUUAGAAAUUAUCGCUACAGAAACAUUCAUGUUCGGUAGGUCGGCGUCUACGGAUUACUGAUUUAUUUUGUUUCUGGUGUCAAGAUACACGUGUAGAAUAUAAAAUUUCGUCAUCAGAUUAAAAUUCGUAAAAUAAAAUGUUAAAAGUCGCCGAUAUUCACACAUCUGCACAACCAAGUGGCAACUCUAUAUAAAAACGCCAAUCAUAUUCACUGUUGCGUUACGCGUAUGAUGAUCCUAGAAUUUUUCAGACAAUGACAAAAGAAAUGGUUGCAAAGUUUUUCUGAGUAGAAUCACCGCAUUCCCCUCAACAAGAUAGAAUUCAUUCUCGGACACGUUGGCACACGAGGCAACGCUUACCUAUCGCGUAAUCUCGCCUCAAUAAUGUCAUACAUUCGAUUACCGAUAUAAUCCAAUCUAUUCAAUCUAUAAUUUCGAGAACCUUACGUAACGCGCAAGAGCGAAUUAUUCAUCAUAUAACAACGCUUUGUGAGACGACGAGCAGGAUAGUAAUAUGAUUACCGACGGAUUCGCUUCCUUGGUUCACUAGCGAGCGAUGUCGAAAUCAGAGAACCGAGAUAAAACGCUUACGACGCGGAGGAGCGCGAGGCGGAUGGCAAAGGCGCGCGCGCGCACGCAUUUCGAUACCGCGUUUCGCACGCGCAAAAGAAUGGAAUCGCUUGAGAAAACGAUUGCUUGAGAUAUACAAUAGAUACGCGACGGCGCGUACAUGUUUAAUGGCGCUUAAAUGUAUUGGUAUCUUAAAUAGUAUUCGAUGGAUAGAGCUGCGAACCGCCAAGAGCAAGAUAACACACACGCUGGCGGAUAAAAUCUUUUUUCUUUCUACGCAGACUUUCGAGCGACAAAGUGUCUAUAGUUUAACGCGUCUCAACCUCACCGUACCGACCAUAGAGUUUCUAAUAACGUCAAGGUUGUUCCUACCCAGAAAGAGAGAGGCGUUUAUGGGCGAAAGAGGACGUUCGAACUUUAACACGUACAGGGUGAAAAAGCAGUUUCCACAACGUCGCUUCAGUAGUAAAACCUGUAUCUUCUAUACUUUCUUUCCUGUAGAAACAAAGAAGUUAGUUAACUAUGCCGUUGGUGAACUAAGCUUCUUCUCGCCCUGUGGAUUAGUGGAUUGCAUCAAAAAAAUUUUCGAAAUUAAUAAUUGCAGACUUCUAAAAAUUGUGAAAAGAAGAAAAGGCGGUUAUGAACUAACUCCACUAAAAGUGGAGUUACGGAAUUCACAAUAUCUUGUAUACUUAUAUUGAAUUUUGGGGAUAACUGUCCAAAUUUCUUCUUACAUACUGUUUAGACGUUAUAACAUGGCCACUAGUCACUAGUGUUUAUUGUAUUGUCAUAAAAGCUGCAUUUCAAUAUUGCAGGUAAUCGAAAGAUUUAUAUAUGUGUAUUCUUUUUCUCACUUUAACAAAUAUGCCGUGUACUAAUUUUUUCAACUUUAGUGUAACUUAAAGAGCUUAAAUAUGGCUUUCAAAUAAUUGUAAUUAAAUUAAUUUUUAAUAUGUGCAUGCAAUUAACAUAAAGUUAUAUUGUCUGCGUUUAGGGUUAUGGACAACUUGCGGGUAUAGCGAGUCUGAGUCCUGUAAUCCCUUUGUACGUAUUUAGAUUAUACUUCUACAAUACUUAUUAGCCAAUAGUGUUUAUUACAAUAAUUUUAUAAUACUUCUACAAUGCGCAAAGUCACAAGAAUCAAAGAUUUUUUUAUAUACAUUUUCGAUACUUUAUAAUACUGAUGUGUAAGGAUCCAGCAAAAUACGUUAAAUUUUUAUUUUUUAGAAAUAAAAUUAAUUUUGAGAAUAUUUGUUGGUAGCGUUCCAUAUCUCCCUACAGAUUUUGUGAUCACAAUUUUUUUCCGUUGUCAAUAAAUUGGUAAUUAUGUUAUAUAUGUUAAAAAAUUUGAUAAUCUUAAACAGACAUAACUUGUUUACAUAAAAAAGUUUAUUUUUAUUCAAUAAUAAUUUUUAAGUUGAAAGGAAAAAGAUCAGAUAAGAAACAAUUUCUCAAGAAUUAAAAUUGUUCAAUAUUAUUAUUAAAACAAUCACAUCCUGUGUUCCUUUUAUAAUACUACUAUAAUACUGUAAAAAUCUAUAAUAAAUAUCUUGCUGUAACUCACGCUAAUUAAACUCCUUAAAGAUUUUAUAUUCUUACUUAUAUAUAAAACAAUUUUUGUUGAUUAGGCAGUACUCUUUGUUUUUAUAGAAAAUUAAAACAAAAGAUAAAAUCUUUUUGCAAGACGAUACUGUGCAAAGUCGUCAUUAAGAGAGGGAUAAUUUUCAUAGAAGUACCCGCACUAUUUAAUUAAUUCGAUCACGGAGAACCGUCGAGCGCAGCUAACUCCAAGAGGUUUACCAAAGUAAAAAAAAAUAAUUCGGCCAUUUUUAUACUGCUAUACUAAUCCUUCAUCAUUUCGUAUCACCGUCUGUAAAACACUAAUUACAGCUCAGCGCUGACGCUUCCGCUGGUAAGGCAAACGGCGUAGACAAAAGCAGCUUUAGAGAAUCCGCAAAGCCCCCCCCCCUCUCGAACACGCGCGCGCGCAUGUGUGUGUGUGUGUGUGUGUGUCUUUUUCUCUCAUGUACAUUUCUCCCUGGGCUUACUGAACUUUCCGCAAAGUACAGUGCCUCUGCGGAAGACGACCGACCGAAUCGUAGCGUAGAUUUUGUCAUGCGAGUCGAACCGUCGCCGGGCACGUCGCGGACAAUAAUUUCCCCGGUAACGCAAUACGCCGCUCCCGGUGAACCCGAUGCUCCGAGCAUAAGACCGAAGUCCAUGUACAAAGGGAACAACUUUCAUCGUCGACGAUGCAGUGCCCUCGCAACUGUAUACGAGCGCGAAGACACCUCGCCGAAACUCCCUCGCUAAAGAGAAUCUAAUUACAAUCGUCGUUAUCGGCGUUUUAGAUUAUAGGUGUGCCAGUAAAUUGCACUCCAAUUGACCGUCGAUUAUCCGCGAGAUAUUCAGCUUUUUUUCGUGGUUAUUUCUCAAAUCUCACAAUUCCUCAUUCAUGUAAUUUUCCUUCUCUUACUACUUAACUUAUUAGUUAUUCGUUAAUAUCUUAGUUUACGUAUAGUUAAUAUAUUAGUUAAUAUAUUAGUUUAUAUUAGUUUAUGUUUAAAACAAUUAUAAAUAUUUAAAACAAUUAUAAAUAGCCAAAAACCAAAAAAAUGACAAGUUACAGUUAAGUUAAAAUAAUCGCAACUAUUUUUUCUUUUCAGUGUGUCACUUCGCCGGAGUUUCAAGAACCUCGCGGAACAGCUUAUCUACCACAAGAAUCUGGAGAUAGGCGUGACGUAGCGACCGAUAGCUGCCGCCGAUGCGUCAGAAACCAUCCGCGUUCGCGCGAGCGAGGCAUUCCCGACCGCGGCACGACCGGGCCAGUUUGCACGUCAUAUAGUUUAGCGACGGGCUUCGAGCCCGAUCACACUUGUUGAGAGGAAGCCCCUUCGCACCACCUCCACCAUCCACCACCAUCUCCUCCUCCUUUUCCACCUCCUCUGCUGCCUAUUCUCUGCUAUUCUCUUUCCCCCCUUGCGUCCUCUUUCUCCGUUUUCCCUGCCCCCUCUCCCUCCUCCUAUUCCUCCGCGCUUCCUCUUUCGCCCUUUCUCUUUACCAUUGCCUCAUGAUCUAUCUCGCUCGCCUAGUAUGGUAUCUCCACGAACGACCUUGACCUCACGUCGCAUCCACGUUGUCCUAAUGUUUUUAUCUAGGCGUCUGAUAUCGAUAAGAACGAUUCGCACCAUCAGACAAAUCGAAUAUCCAGAAUGGUACUUAAGUAUUUUAAAAUAUCUUAGAUAAUUCCUUAUAUUAAUUCAAGAUAAAAACUCUAUAUAAUCAUAUGUCAAAAACGGCUUUGUUUCAAGGGUAUAAGGUGUUGAAGUUGUAGCAAAAAUUUCCGAACCUAAAAGACCCUUUUUGUACUGAUUUAUCUCAUUUACCAUAUAAACAAAUAUCAAACUUAAAAAAAGUAAGUGGCAUACCAAUUCUCACGUAACAAAAGUAUCCAUUUAUCCUUAAGUUUGUUACCGAUUGAACAAAUAAAUGAUAGCCCACCAAAAAUGAAUCUUUAUCUCUUUAAAACAUAUACAAAGUUUUAUCAAAGUAGCACAACACAAUAAUGAGUAAUGUUCAAAAUUUUUCCUCCAAGCUUACUCUGUAUCUCUGAAAUUAAGUAUUUCCGAACAUAUAUAGUCGCAUAUGUUUUUAUCUUGAAUUAACAUGAAGAAUUUACCCUUUAAAAUCUUGGGAUAUUUACCCUGUAUACAUAUAUGUAUAUACACAUAUAGUAACUAAUAAUUCAUAGAUAUGCUUCUAUACUGUAUUGUAUCAUAAUCCUAUCGGUCGGAAUCGCAUUCUAAUGCUAUCAGACAAUACUAUCGAAAUUCGAUAAUCGAUUCCGAUUUAAGGAACAUUGGAAGUCAAUUACACUUUAAAUGUUAAGAUUAUUACGUUCUCUUAAUGAAGAGAUCGCAUAAUAGUAUAUAGGAAAAUAGAAAGAACUAUAAAGAGCUAAUUAAAAUAUUCAUAGAACGAUAUGAUCAAAGUAAUUAUGAGAAUAAUGAAGAAGUUGUCCAAUUGUGCCAGAAAUGAAAACGAAGGAUUCUGAAUUCAAAUCUCAGUUAAUUUUUUCUUAUUUCUACAAGUACAUAAAUGUUACAAUUAUCGAACGGUUGGUAACCGGAGGAAGUUAUUAACCUCCGAUAUCCAUGUGUAUCGUUGAGGCUUCCAAGUUCCUCCACCCCCUCUCCAGGGGUCUCGUCAUCAUCCCUCCUCCCAUUGUACCGCCGUUCUUCGAUCAUUGACGCCACUACGUUCUUUCUCCGGAGAGGAGCUCGCGCCGAAGGUCGAAGAGAGCGGACGCGAGAAGAAAGAAAGGAAGCGCGUGAAAUCUCGGCACGCGAGUUAUGUCAUCGCGGAUGGCUAACAUUGUACUAAAUAAUGCGUUCACGUGAGAUGAAAGACAUCAGAGAGACGCGUCGUCGCGUCUCUGGAAGACGAACCCGAUGAUGAUUUAAACGCUACCGUGGUAAAUCAGUUUGGAGCGAAUUUACAAGACUGUUUACAAGACUGUUUAAAUCUAGGGACACAUUUAUCAAUUCCCACCCGAGAGAAAGAAAAUGAGAGAAGAGGGAGAGAGAGAGAAAGAGAGAGGGGAGAGCUGAUUUUUAAUCUUUUCCUUGUAGAGUUUUGAUAAGAUCACCUAAUGGUUUAGACAUGAAAAAAAAUUCGUAGUUGGAUAAAUCAGAAAUAUAAACCAGACCGUUUGGUAAAAAAUGAACGAUCCAAACUUUGAAUUAAAUUAAUUUAACAAAUUUGGUAACGUGUUUCUGGUAAAGACAAGCAGCUAAGUUUGCUUUCAUAUAUUCUGUAGGUAACCAAAUUGAUUGUAUUCUGGUGAAAACACUUCAUUGUAAUCUAAUAGUAAUCUUAAUUAUAGAAUAGAAUUUUAUUCAGCA